rnacentral:lncRNA from 1 species
UUUUUUUUUUUUUUUUGGAGGUUUUCAUAAAAAGAAAAUCGAAAAUGUCCAAAAUAUAGGAAUUGUAGAAGACAACUGCCGAGAUACGUGCAAAAAUUCCAGGUUUACAUUCAUUGGAACUGUCACAUCGUAUAAAUAUUCAUAUUCCUUCCCAAGGCAAGAGUAAAGCACACCCUAUAUAACCCUCUCAUCCCUUGAUGUGCCGUAUAUACUACUGCCACUUUCAUGCAUUAGUAUUAUAUUAGACAGGCCUAUUUAGCCAUGGAUUUGUAAAGUUAUACGUACUAGCUCUUCUCCAGUUCUCCUACAUCUACAUUGAAUCCGUACGAGACAUUAUUCACUCUCCCCAGUCCAAUUACAAACUGUAAAGACCGCGGGAAAUUCUGGCAGCCCCUGCAGUUUCCUUCAUCGUCUAAGUAAGGAAAACCAGACGUCAAAAUGGCUUUCAUUUUUAUUCCAUCAGCAACUGCAUUUUCCUUCGUUUUACUUUUUGGGCUCUAUUGAAGAUAAAUUUUUUUUUAGCUCUAGUAUACUGCUUAAUACGUCGGUAACUUGGUACGCAGAGGACUGUUUGGGACUUGAAUCUUCCUGGCUACUCUUGCUUUUGGUCUAUAGGGUUGACUACAAGUCAAUGUUGUGCCUUUUCUUUGUUUCACAUUCGACAAACUUUCCUUGUUGUGCUUGUACGGAAAUAAUACUUUUGAUGAUCUGUAUAAAGUUUUAAUCCUUUUUCUUCUUUUCUAAAGCAUCUUUCUUAACCUCGAAGGUUUCCUGGAGUUUCCUUGUACAUAAUUUCUUCGGGGGUAAGCUUUCAAUAUCAUUUAUCCGUGCAUUUGUGUGUUUUCCUGUGCGUGCUACUGUGAUAUUUGGGUAAGUUUAUUUCAUCAUUUAGGAAAGAAGGAGAGAUGAUGAUGAGGAAGGCGAACACAAGGAGGAAGGAAGAAUCCAAGGGUCUGGGCUUGGUAGACUUUGUGUUUUCUUGGUCUAUUCCUGAUGUGAUGAACAAAAAUCUUUACUCUGACAAGGUAAGGGAUUGAUAUCAGUAGUUCCUUUUGAGAUUUGAUAUAACAAGAUAUUGCGUUUUUCCCCCCCUCAAAUGCAUUUUAUCUAUUUGCCCUGCUGAAAUCAUCUUAAAUAUGCUUAUGACAUUAUGUGCGGCUUAAGUUUGCCAUGCAUUGAAAUAACUAGUAAGAAUUUUCCCCACGUACAUACAACUGGCAACAAAAAGAAAAUUUCAGGAAUGAGGUACAUAAAUUUUAACCAUUUUGAAGCAAUAGUAACGGUCUGUUAUUAGCAUUAGAUGAUCGAGACUACAAAGAAGAUGACCACUAAGCUGACUGGAACUCGAAUUGGAAGGCUAACAUAGAAAACUGAAUGAUUCUUGAUGAUCCUCAAUUGCUCGUGCAUGGCGUAGCUAAACAUCCUGCAGAUUGAGAUUUCUCUGUUCGUACUAGAUUGCUCUUGUUGAUGUGAUGCUAUUAAUUUUUUGUAAUCUUUGAUUAUUGCUUUUUAGACAGUGGAUUACAGACACAAUGCAUUUUUAGUUUACUGCUCUAUUAAUUGCAAAGCUGUAUUCUUUUCUUCUUCCUCUUAUACGUAUGAGGAGAGGUUAACAAUGCUUCUGAGCCCGUGAUGGCGUAGGUUGUAUAUUCCAAAACGCAUAGUGAAUUAGGGACUAUGAAUGUAUGCUGUCACUGAAUUCUAUUUUGGUUUCAUUUUGAGACAGGUGAAACAGGUACCGGAGACAUUUCCGUCAACUGAUCAUUACCUGAAAUCAUUUAUCUACCCACUUAUUGAAGAAACGCACGCUGAUUUGUUCUCAAGCAUGACAGCAUUGUCUCGUGCGCCUAUGCGUGAAGUAUUUGAUGUAAAAAUAUCAAAGGAUUAUAAACCUCCUAAAGAGUUGUACUAUUCCAUUUCAUUGAAGCAAAUGGGAAUGAAUGAGAAAAAAGAAGGAAUCUACGAGCCUGAGUUUGGAGAUCUUAUUGCACUUACAGAUGUAAGGCCAAAAUGUAUUGAUGAUUUGAACAGGCCGAAAAGACCAUAUCUUCUUGCUAUAAUUCAAGGGAUGAAGGAUGGAGAUUCUCAGAAACUUCCUAUUUUGUCGUCAAAACCUAUUGAGUUUGAGAAACAUGAGGAUGGAAAGGGUAAAAACAGGGACAAACUGUUUGCUGUUUAUCUUACUAACUUGACAACAAACAUCAGAAUAUGGAAAGCUCUACAUCCUGACCCAGAAGUAGUAAACAUGAAGAUUAUUAAGGCCAUAAUGCCAGUUGAUCCGAAUGUAAGAUUUACUUAUUUUUGUAUGUUCUUCUGAGAAAUAUCAACUCUCUUUUAGUACAUUGCAAGAGAAAUAGGAAUUGAAAAUUUCAAGUUUCCUUCUCUUUAUGAUGUUCAUAAUUAUUUGUCAUUUGUAGGUUGGACGGAAUUGCACUCUUUGUUCUAAUGGAGAAACUAAAAGAGAUGCUGGAUCACAUUUAAUUGCAGCCAUUCAAAAUUUUGGACUAGAUGAGUCCCAAGGAACUGCUGUUUUAGAUUGUAUUACUACUAAAGAGUGUCACCAUCAAAAUUCAGUCAAGCUGAUAUGGGGUCCUCCAGGAACAGGAAAAACAAAGACAGUAGCUUCUCUAUUAUUUUUGCUGCUACAGAUGAAAUGCAGAACAUUGACUUGUGCUCCAACCAAUGUUGCGGUGCUGGGAGUUACAAAUCGGUUGAUGACUUUGGUCAGGCCAUCUCUCGAGUGUGAUACUUAUGGACUAGGGGACAUUCUUUUGUUUGGAAAUGGGGAACGAAUGAAGAUUGAUGAUUAUGAAGAACUCCUUGAUGUAUUUCUUGAUUACCGAGUUACUGCUCUUUCAUGUUGUUUGGCUCCAUUGUCCGGGUGGAAAGGCAGUACUGAAUCUAUGAUACGGCUGCUUGAAGAUCCUGAGAAACAGUAUCAGCUGUAUUUGGAUAAAGAGAGGGAAAAGGAUCAAAGUGAUGAUGAAGAACCUCCCAGUGAUGAGAAGGGUGAGCUGGAAGGAGGACUAUUUGAAAACAUUAAUGUAAGUGACAGCCAGGGGAAAGUGGAUGAGAUUGACAGUCAAAGCUCAAAAAAGAAUAAGCCUAAGUUCUGGAAGAAAGUUAUUGUUCAAACUUUAAAGGAGAACAAGAAGAAAAAAUCAAAGGACAAAGCAGCUUCUAAGAAAUCGAAGCACAACAUGGAGGGGAAAAAUAUUGCUGGUAGCAAGACAAACAAAAGAGAGCCAGACAAUACGUCGGUUACUCUUUUGUCAUUUGAUGAAUUUUUUAUCAAGAAAUUUAAAUUGAUUGGGAAUCGGCUAAUAUUUUGUAUAACAAGCUUGUACACCCACAUGCCUACAUCUUUCAUUCCAAUGGAGGUAGCAAAGAAUAUGAAAAGGGUUUCUGACAUGCUGCAAGCUCUUGGAUCUUUGAUACAUAAGGUCACUUCUGCUAAUGAAGGGCUAAGAGAAGUCCUCUAUGGAACUGAAACUGCAGAAAGAAGGAUAAGACACUUCAAUGAGUUGCGAAGGACUAGAAUGGGAUGCCUGCUAAACCUGAAACAUCUUCAAGAAAAAAUCUCUCUUCCAAGCUUCUCUGAAGAUUAUCAAAUUAGAAACUUCUGUUUACAGAGAGCUUUCUUGGUCUUUUGUACUGCUUCAAGCUCAGCUAAGUUGCAUGUGGAAGGAAUGGCACCACUGGAAUUAUUGGUCAUUGAUGAAGCUGCACAGUUGAAGGAAUGCGAGUCCACUAUACCCCUUCUGCUACCUGGUAUCCGCCAUGCUAUACUUAUUGGAGAUGAGAAACAACUACCAGCAAUGGUUCAAAGCCAGGUUUUCCAAUUGAACAUGUUUUACUCGUCUAUUUUUAGAAAUUUAACGUAUUUCUGUUUCUGACUCUUCUGAUAUGUCUUAAGCAGAUAUGUGAGAAGGCCAAUUUUGGAAGAAGUUUAUUUGAGAGGCUAGUGAUGUUAGGUCAUCAAAAGCACCUUCUCAAUGUUCAGUACAGGAUGCAUCCAUCGAUAAGCUUAUUUCCAAAUAGGGAGUUCUAUGGUAAGCUAAUAAUGGAUGGUCCCAAUGUGAAGGAUGUGAAGUACAAGAAGCGCUUCCUGAAAGGGUCCAUUUUUGGAUCAUACUCAUUCAUUGACAUCAACCCUGGUAAAGAGCAGUUUGAUGACAAGCAUAGUAGGAAAAAUCUCGUGGAGGUUUAUGUAGUUGCCGAGAUCAUUGCUAACCUUCAUAAAAGUAUGCUUCUCUGCAAAUUCUAGAGUAUCAUAUUUUUUUUCUCCUCUUUCUUUGGACUUGUAUGCAGUUAAGCUGAUAUCUCAUCGUCCCUUUCUCAAUAGGGUCUCUCAUUUCAAAGCAGAAGCUCCGUGUUGGCUGCAUAUCACCAUACAAAGCUCAAGUUUCUGCAAUUCAGGAAAAACUUGGCCAGAAAUAUAGUACGGACACAGACAGUGACUUCUCUGUUAAUGUUCGUUCUGUCGAUGGAUUUCAAGGAGGGGAAGAAGAUGUUAUAAUUAUUUCAACAGUGCGGUGUAAUGGGAGUGGAUCAGUUGGCUUCCUUUCCAAUCAUCAGAGGACAAAUGUGGCUCUCACUCGAGCAAGGUAUGAAUUUAAUGUAAAAGAAACCUGAACGUAAAUGAGUCUCAUAGGUACUCUCUAUUUCUUGAGUUUCAUUAUAUGUUUGGAAAAUUAUAUGCGUGCAAGAUGAUGCACAGACACGUAGUUUGUAGUAGCACUUAUGGCUUGAUUUACAGGCACUGCCUUUGGAUAUUGGGAAAUAGUGCAACCCUCGUGAAUAGUCAUUCCGUUUGGAAGAAACUAGUAUUGGACGCAAAGGCUCGUGGUUGUUUCUAUAAUGCUAGAGAUAACAAGAUCUUGGUUCAAGCAAUUUCUUCUGCCUUAAUUGAGUUAGGCCAAUUUGAUAAACUACUCAGUACCGACUCAGUGCUGUUCAAAACAGCGAGGUGGAAGGUAUGUCUCAGUUGUCAUACUAAAGUAAUAACUUGGUCGGCUAGUUUGUUGCUGUUUUUGGCAGGGUUUUUUUUUUAAUGCUCGCUAUAAUUUCCUUUUAUAAGUGGUGUUGCUGACUGACUCAACUAUCCUUGGGUUUAUACAAUAGGUUUGCUUCAGCGAUGAUUUUUCAAAAUCACUAGCAAGAAUUCGGGAUCCUGAGAUCUGCAAGGAAGUUCUUUCUCUUCUAGUGAAGCUUGCGAGCGGCUGGCGCCAGCGUCUAAGUGACACUAGUAGAAUUGAAAUUAAUGGUACUUCUCUGUUGUUGGAGACGUAUGAUGUGAAGGGUCUGAAACUGAUGUGGACAGUCGGCAUCCAGAAGUUCAUUUCAAUUGACAUGCAAGUGAUAAAAGUUUGGGAUAUUUUGGCAAACCCGGAGAUACCAAACUUGGCAAAGCAACUUGACAAGAUAUAUGGAAACUACACGCUGAACACUGUGAAUCGUUGCAAAUUCAAACGGAUGGAAGGGUAACUUUACAAUCUUUAUAAUCUUGUCAUAGUGAAUGUUUUGCACUAGUACAUUCUGUUCGAAUGGUAUUCUUUCGGCCUGCCAAUUUUUAUCGUUCUUCCUUGUUCAGUAGCUUCAUAACCAAAACAACUAAAACAUGGCAAUUUAAAGUUUCUAGAGGUUAUAGUUUGAUGUUAGUAUUGUCAAGCUGCUGCCUUCAAGGCCUGCAUAAUUUCAUAACAAGAGCGCCGCCCCUGACCUCACCAUUCCUGGGAUUGACUAACUGGUUGUUUGCUAUGCUGUGCAUUCCACGUAGAGGAGCAGCUGAUUCUGGCAUAAAGUCACAAACUCGUUUCUCUAUCUUUUUAACUUUUCCUCUCACACUCAUUUUUUCGGUCACUAAUCUCUGUUUGCAUUGCCAUUCUCAAUACUUAAGCGCGUACUCUGGAUCCCUAUCUUGUAGAAACUUAAUAGGUUGUUUAGCCAAAGUUAAGAGCUCAAAAACGAAGGCUUCAUUUGCUGCAGGAAUUUAGUAGUUCCAGCCACGUGGCCAUCGGAAUCAAAAUCUGUUACUGGUGAUGAUCCAAGCGAACACUUGGCAAGUAAAUUUGCCGGAAUCAGUCUAAGGGAUGAGCCAAGACCGUCUACAAGGAGUAACAGGUGAGUAUCUAAUUCUACAAAUUGUCACUUCACUUGAUUGAAACACUUGCAUCUUUAGGUACCGUCCCAGAACACAAACCACACCACCACAUUAUGAUUUUCUCCAUCGCCUUUUCCUCCCCGAAUAUUGAUUUAUGUGUUGUUUACCAGAAGUGCGCAAACUCAUGGGAAGCACCACAACAAGUGGAAGAAGUCACAGAAGUGAAGCUCGAGUGAGACAAGAUCACUGAAGAUUCUUCUUGCGUAGUCUAUGCAAAAGUCGAAAGUUUCUAUUGUCGCCUGUGUUACUUGAGCUGUGCCUACUGUCCAUGGUUAAUGCGGGGGAUGAUGCUUUCUUGAAAUCAACGAUUUAUGGGCAGCAAUUUUAUCAGUAUGUAUUGAUGAGUUAUGGAGGUACCAAUCCAAAUUAUGUUUGCAGUAGAUUAAAUUUACCUGAAACGGUGAAACCCAUGUGUAAGAAAUUCAGGAAAACUUGACUUGGAUGGGGAUUUGACAGAACUUUUUACGAGGACAAGGUGUAAAUUAAAGGAUGGUGCAGUCCAAGUCCUCUUGAAACGCCAGAAUAUUAAUGGGUGUCUUCAGUGCUAUAAGCAGUGAUGAACCCUCAUUAUAUAAUCUUCUAACGUUUUAUAUGUAAUGGUUUCUCGAUUUUGUAAUGUGAAAUGCUUGUCAUGGUAUAUAUGUAUAUAUAUAUAUUUACAAAAAAAAAAAAACUUACAUUAUAGUACUGUGUGAUAACGUUUGCUGUUUUUUUCCGAUUAUGUUUGCAUUUCUGCAAGCAGCGCUGAAGCCUCGUUAUAUACUCUAUUUUGCUUCGUCUUAAAAUGCUUGUCAUGGUUCAUAAAUGAAAAUAAAUAAAUCCUAAAUUUCAUAUUUGUACCCUUGACACAAUAUUCAGUUUGGAAAAAAAUGUUAAGUUCUAUUUCCGUAAUAACUAAUGUUACAAACCAUUUUUGUAUUUCAAUUCUUUACAUCUAGAAAGUCUAUCAAUCAUACGACAAAUUAAUCUGCAAAGACCUCCAACCAAUGUAAUGUCAAGUUCUGCAAAGCAAAUCCAUCCCGAAGGAGAGAGAAUAUUCCCACUUCGGAAAGAGCCCGUUUUUCUCAUCCACGAAAUGAAUGAAUUCCAAGAACAGAUCUGCACCUACAGAGACUGCUUCGGCCAAGGAUACUAACAUUGAGGCUUACCACCUGCAAAGAAAAGAAUCUAUCAUUGCCAGCAUGCACCUUUUUCUGCUACCUCAUUCUAUUCUACCAUGGAAGAAUUCUUCAUCAGGAAGACUUGUGCUUCAUUUGCUGCAGGCCCUUGGAAUCAAAUUCUGUUGUUGAUGAUCCAAGAACGUCUAAGAGGAGUUUUAGGUGAGCAUCUACCACUGGAAAAAUCUCACAUCAUGGCGAGGUUCCAGUACAAGGGCACUGCACCGAAACACAUAUCACAUCCCGAUAUUUUUCCUCUAAACUUUCUCUACUUUGAUUAUUGAUAUGUUAUCUUGGUCAAAACUUGGUAGAACCGAUUUUCAAAAAUCUAGUGAAUCAGAUUGUGCGACACCAGAUAGUGUGCCACAAUUUAGACCAUUGGGUCUCUUGAAGACCUGGUCUACUCAAGUGUGAGCCGAAGCACAAAAGUUAUCAAAACCGCUCCUUAAACUUAAUAGAUAAUUGACACCUGCUUGAGAGGGCAAGGCCCCGUACCAUGGUCUGGCUAUGAAUUCUCUCUGUCCUCACCCCGUCAAGAAAUAGGCCAUAACCCAGAAAGGAAGCGUGUCUUCUCCUCAAUGCGAUCAUUGAUUCAAUCUUGAUGGUUUGUUGUAAGGCAUGAAGGACUAGUAAGAGGCUAUGAAAUUUGGGGGAAAAAAUUGAGAAUCAAGAAGAGUAACUAAAGCAAUAAAUGCGCUAUUGUUAGAUUCACAAUCAGACACUGUAGUCACUACAGAUUGACGUAUCAUUGUCCUCGAAUAGGCUCUUCGUCUAUUUACAUGGACAGACUUGGUUGACGGGAAUAUCCAAAAAACUGGACCUAAUUAAAAGUUUUUUAAAAAAUUGCUCUACAAAGUUUUUGAAGAUUUUGGGCGGGCCACAGAGUUAAGAGUUUCAUCAAAUUGGAUGGUGGAGCAUUUAAAUUGUGCAUAUUAAAACACAACAGUAAACAGUGGAUUUUGUGGAGUCGAGGAGGAAUUAUUACAAAUAGAUCGGUGGGAUAUGCAAAAGUACCGAUCGAGUGGUGAGCGGCCAAUUCUUUCCGUAGGACAAAAAUAAGAGAGUUGCUUAAAAUCAGUUGGCGUGUAGUUUGAAAUCAAAGCUUAUAUGACAUGGCUUCUGUCAUGUGCGUAUGCUUCUCCUUCCUGCAAAGUACACAAAAUCUUCCUCGCUCCUUGCUGUCGUAGGCGGACAGGGGCCUCGUAAAUUCCAUUUCAGAAGAUGAUCCAAGGACAAACUUGUGGGAAAUGGAAAUUGCGAGUGAAGGGAAACUCGUCUCUGCUUGAAAAAUGUUCUCUUCGUUUGGGUCUUUAAGACUAUAUAGUUUGGGAAUUGAGAUUCAAAGAGAGAAGACGAGAAAACGAUACAGAUAGCCCGCAUGGAAACCUGAUUCCUGGAGAUAUUUUCUGUAGGCUCGUUCAUGCAUGGAGAAAGGGUGACAGGGUAGCUGAUGGAUUAGCAAAAAAAGAAGUCUAAGGGAGUGGCCAGGACUGAAGAUUUUGCAGGACCCCCUUAGAGAUAUCAGGAGCAUUCUGCAUGAGGAUAUGAUUGGGGUUGUGACUCCAGGCUGCCAAACAGCUAAUGGGAUUUUAAGCCCUCCAAUGUACCCCAAAAAAAAAAGGGAAGGGAAAGGAAGGAAAAUUUACUUGUUUGGGAGUUUUAAGUGCAAAGGAAAGAAUAGAAAGUGGAAGGAAAUGGAGGAGCAAACUGGUUAAGAAACUUUUCUUCCAAAAAUGGGGAAAAAAAAAAGGGACGAAAAGUUCCACUUAACUUUUGUAGAUUUUUUCAAAAUGCCAACUUACCCAUAAAAUGUUAAACAACAACUUUUGUGUCCAAAAUCAUUUCUUUUCUUUCAUACACUCCCGAUCAAUUUCAGAAGAAAACCACAUCUUUUCUCUUCUUUACUUUCAUAACUUAAGUAGAACACUAUUUGCUUCAACCAAGCUACAACAUCAAAGGACCACUCUGCAUAGAACACCCAAGGACCCGAGAUGGGAGAACAAAGUGCUAAUACAAAAUCACCACCACUAAGCCUUGACAGAAUUCUUCAAUUAAAAUAUCUUCGGAUACUUCAGCAGGAUUUACCUGGGACAUGGUCAAAAUGCUGAGAUGAAUUUCUGGAUCUUUGACUGUGCCCUUUCUUUCUCUUCAGGACCUUCCAGGUCACCAACAUUGCCGUGAUAUUCCUGUUUCCAAACACAGUUAAUGCAAAUCUAUGGCAGCCUACCAAUAUUAUUGGGCUUUGUACUCUAAAUAAACAUAAACAAGAUAUUAAUAUAUUUCUUUUUAUGCAAAAACAAAGUUUCUGAAGCCAGCCACUAACCAAGAACCUUAACACCUGAUAGUGGCUAAAAUUUUAAACCUUCUGUUACACACAUCAACUCCUUGGCAUUUCCCACAUCAUUACCUCCUUUAUGGUAUUCAAUGCAGUCUAUUUUCAACAACUUGCUAGAAAAAAACAGAAUUUCAUGAUAAGAUUUCCUAUCAAACAAAUGUUCUAGCAAAUGAACAAAGAAAAUACAAUUUGCAUCAUCUGUCGAAGAAAAGUUAUUCAACAAACAUGAGAUACCAAGUUGGGCAAGUGGGUGCAAAUGCCAUCUGGAUGUUAAUUCUAUUGAUAACAGACACUUGCACCAAAUAUAAGAUAACUGCCAAAGUUUUCGUCAGCAUACAAGUCUAUGAACUUCAUGCUUAUACAUGGGACUCCACGUAUUUUUUUCCUCAGUGUCUAGUACUUCAAAAGCUGACAAGUCUCAAUGCUCUUGCCAUGUUGCAUCCAAGUUUGUAC